rnacentral:misc_RNA from 1 species
AAGCGCAUAGAGAACGCCAAUCCUCGUCCGACGCGCCUCGGAGGUCUCCUGGUCCGGUGUCAUUGCUAUCGACCUGCUGAACAAUGUGAACGCAGUCACCUGCGACGAUCCUGCCUGGGUCGUAGUCCAAAUCCCGGAAAUGGUAUAGCCGCUAGUGCUCCCGUUAAGAGCGGAACACAACAAGCCACCCCGCCUUCAGGAGGCACAUCAGACCGGAUUUUCGGGAGCGAUGCCUCGAACCUGCGAGGGCUACAUCUUGGCUUUUGAAGUGGUACAGCCGCCCCGGCUCGAACGGGGGACCCCCAGAUCCACAAUCUGGCAGCCAUAGUGAUCAUAGGGGAUCAGUAAGCAUCAUACCACUAAAUUUCCUUAGC